rnacentral:rRNA from 1 species
UACGUAGGGGGCAAGCGUUGUCCGGAAUCAUUGGGCGUAAAGCGCGUGUAGGCGGUCCGAUCAGUCGGCUGUGAAAGUCCAGGCUCAACCCUGGGAUGCCGGUCGAUACUGUCGGACUAGAGUCCGGAAGAGGCGAGUGGAAUUCCCGGUGUAGCGGUGAAAUGCGCAGAUAUCAGGAAGAACACCUAUGGCGAAGGCAGCUCUCUGGGACGGUACUGACGCUGAGACGCGAAAGCGUGGGGAGCGAACAGG